ensembl:lncRNA
AUUCUUUCUGGGUUACAAAAUAAACAUUUAACAUAUGUUCAGGCGAGAAUGUAGCUGUGUAAACCUCAAAUAUCUGCUCAGUUGAUCAAGACGCCACAUAUUUUCAAAAGCGCUCUGACGUUUUCGGAGACGUCUGUUACCCACUAGCACGAUAGCUAGCCGGGGGCAAGGCUCACUAGAGCCCGUGAGAACACCGGACUCCCGGCAAAUCGUCUUUCCGUCUUUCGCUACUCAGGUUACUCAGGUCACAUUUUAUUUGUAGUGUGAACGAGCAGACAAAAAAAAUCAGAUUUGAUCAAAAAAUCAGAAUUGAGCAUUAAGACCUGCAGUGUGAAUGUAGCCUUAUAUUAUCAGACAUGAACAUCUUCCAUGCAUCUACUGGGGAGACAGUACUACAGGGAGUGCAGAAUUAUUAGGCAAAUGAGUAUUUUGUCCACAUCAUCCUCUUCAUGCAUGUUGUCUUACUCCAAGCUGUACAGUCUCGAAAGCCUACUACCAAUUAAGCAUAUUAGGUGAUGUGCAUCUCUGUAAUGAGAAGGGGUGUGGUCUAAUGACAUCAACACCCAAUAGGGCUUUGGAGCGUGAUGUCACGGGGGUGGGCGUGGAAAGGAUUUUGGCCCAAUCCGCCAUUUUGGGGGUCUAGCGCAAGUGAAAAGGGAGCGAAGUCACACACAACAGCCAUGGUUCGUAUUUGCUGCAAUGUUCGAUCACACGACCGGCAAGAGAAUAAGGUUGAAAAUGGUUUAUCUUUUCAUUCUUUCCCAACCUGGAAGCAACAUGAGGCAGCUCGUGUAUCGGAUGUUACCAAACGAAGGCGUCUAGCCUGGAUAGCAGCUGUGAGACGAGCUGAUGUGCAGUUCGCUUCCAUCUCCAAAUAUCUGUUGGUGCUCCAGACAUUUUCAUUCCGCAAACCAGCCUAUGAAAUGGAU